GUAGGGGAAAUGCAGAGAGGAAGGUGGCAGGGACCUGAUAUAUUCCUCAAACUCAUGCCCCAUCAGACAAAUUCAAAAGUGUACUUUAAUCUCCUAAGUAUGUCACAAGUGAAUCAAUUUGACAAGCAACAUUAAUCAUCAAAAGCUAAAUAUUUGUAACAGAAGAAAGAACAAUCAUUCCACUGAACUAGAAGACUUUAGCCAGGCCAUUUUGGAUUUCUAAUAACUAUUAAUCAACAGGAAAAUGAGGAAGUUAUCAUCUGGAUAGGAUAAUGGAUCCUGAUUGCUAAAGGGAAGAUGGACUAUUACUGAAUAAUGGAGGUACCAAGCUGACAAGAGGUGAUCUUGUGAUAGUGAAUUUUAUGGACCAACUUGAUUGGGCCAUGGCUUGUUCAGAUAGCUAAUUAAAUACUAUUGUUUGGUGUUACCAUAGCAAUGUUUCCAGAAGACAAUAGUAUCUGAAUGGAUGUGAACUGAACAUCCAUAAAGCUGAUGGCCAAUGAAAUGUCUAAUAUUUCCAAGGAGAGCAGAGAUGGUAGAAC